GUGACAGUCAACAUUUUACUUAGCAAAAUUACUUUUGGAAAUUGUACAAGUUGGUGAAACCCGAAGUCUGGAAACUCCCACUUUACUAUAUGCCUUCCACUCUAUAAAGAACCUAUGGUCUCCCUAACUCACUCUAUUCAUUGCUGCUUUUAUAUGCUUAUUCCUACUGCGUCCCUAACCCUAGAACACCAAGUUUUCAGAUUCUAUGUAUUUUUUAAGACCCUACUUCUUAUGCAGUGAGUUAGUCACUCUGUCAGUUUACUCAAAUAUUUAUUGAGCAUCUAAGUGGAAGGCACCAUGCUUGGCUGAAAGAAUUAGAAGUGUGUGUGCCAAGAUGAUUAGCUCAUGUACCCUAUUCUCAGGGGUUUUAUAUACUAUGCUCUCCAUUAAGUCUUCAAGUGUUCAGACUGAUGAACAAUUUCUGAAUCACAUCACCUAAAUGGAAUGGUGAGGGGCCAGACAAUUUAAAAUCAGAGCUGCUUUGGAAAAUCUACCACAUAUAGGUCACAGUACCUAAUACAGUAGACAGUCUCUAAGAGAAGGCUUGCUGGAUGAGUCGUAACUUUAAAUAGGAAUGAGGUCAAUAAUAAAGGUUUGUACCUUAAGUGAAAUCAGCAAAGCAGAGCUUCCUAUCUUCCUAAAUCUAAGAACUAAUGUCAACAAACCUUCUGAUUAUUUUACCAAGAAAGAAAAUGCUCUAAUGAUUCUUUUUAAACUAAUCCUUUUUAUACCUCUAACACCAGAGUGGUUGUUGCUGAAUNNNNNNNNNNNNNNNNNNNNNNNNNNNNNNNNNNNNNNNNNNNNNNNNNNNNNNNNNNNNNNNNNNNNNNNNNNNNNNNNNNNNNNNNNNNNNNNNNNNUUGCUGAAUAAAAAGUCUCUUGUUUCUCUCUUUUUUCUUUUUCAUAGCCUUUCUCGCUCUAAUCCUCACCCUGCUGAAUUUAAUUGCCUUGGCAAUGCCAAAACAAUGUCUGAUCCAAAUAGGUCAGCAUUGAUCGCUCUAAACCAAUUGGUUCCUUCAUUAGCAAGAAAAUGAAGUAAAGAGAAAAGGCAGGUGGCUCUCGAACAGGCAGCUGGGCUUCUGCUCCUCUUACAGUGUCUCUUUCUCAUUAAACGGUAGCUGAUCGAUCGGCAACUUGCUCAAAAUCCACAAAAACUAUUUAUCACUCCUGACACAGACCUGUUUUCAACAGGCCACUCAACUCAAGAUUUGGACACCCCAGACUGUUUGUGUGGCCCGUCACAUUCCCCCCAUACAGACCUCUCCGGAGAUCAUAUGGAGAAAAAAAAGGACACAUCAUCCAAACUCCCACCACCUGGCAGGGCACCAAGUAAAACCUUGAGUGACUAAUCCCACCAAUGAGUCUUAGGAGCGAAGGGUUCCCAGAGGGAGGCUCUAGAAUCUACAGCACGGUAAAGGCAGACGGGGAGGAACUAGUCUUAGUGAUACCAGUAAGUGUGGAAGUANNNNNNNNNNNNNNNNNNNNNNNNNNNNNNNNNNNNNNNGGAGAAGAAAACAAGGUGGGAAAGGUAAUGAAAAAAAAAAAAAACAAGAGAAAAAACAUACACAGGAAAAGCACAGUACACUCAUAUGGUACCACUUCAGUUGGUUGGGAAGCAAACUAAGGGAGAAAGGAGGCAGUUUUGUCAGAUGGUCUAGGAAACUACUUUUCUGCCAGAAUCAAUGAGUCUCUUAUUUCUGGGGUCAUGUGACUGAUUACACAACAUACUGCUAAGCACUGCUUCAAUCUAUGCAAAACAGCCUAGGGAAGGGAGGUAUUACUUGAAUUUGAAUGAGCAUGAAGGACAAAUUCCACACUUGGCACUUUACAUAAGAUAUCUUACUAAACCGCAUGUUAAUCUUAUAAAAAGUCAUUUCUAUUCUCAUUUCACACACUAAAAACGAAAAAAUCAGAAAUAUAAAGUAACUUGUCCAACGACACACAGCCAGUAAUAAGUGGCAGUCAGAAUCUGAAUGUAGUUCUGUUCAAUCACAAAGUACACGCCCUUUUAAUGAACCUCCAGUAAAGAAUCUGAAAACGAAAAAAGUAAAUACAGAAUUAACUUAUGGGGCUUCCCUGUUGGCUCAGUGGUAAAGAAUCCACCUGUCAAUGCGGGACACAUGGAUUUGAUCCCUGGUCCAGGGCGAUCCCACAGCCGCAGAACAACCCAGCACAACUACUGAGCCUCCGCUCUAGAGCCUGGGAGCUGUAACUGCCGAAGUCUGCACACCCCAGAGCCCGUGCUCCAAGAGAAGCAACGGCGGUAAGCCUGCACACCACAACUAGAGUAGCCCCAAAGCCCACACAGCAAUAAAGAGCCAGCACAGCCAAAAUAAAUAAAAAUUAUAGAACAGAAUUGACUUAUAAAUUAUAAAAAUAAAGAAAAACAUAUGAUAUUUUUUAAAGAAAAUGAAAAGAGUGAAAGGAACAAGUAACCACAUGUUUGUGUACUUCCUCCCAGUGGGUUCUUAGUAACUANNNNNNNNNCUUCACAUUCUUUGGGGAGGAAGCAGAGUCAGCACUGUUGGCAAGCUUCCUCUCACUUGCUGCCUUUCGAUAUAGCUAACAGGGUUGCUGAAGAGAACCGGCCUUAAACACAAUCAAGGUCAAUUUUCUCCUAAAUUUCAAAUCCAGAAUCAAUUUACUUACACUUAUAUGUUAGUAAUUCCUUGUGUUAACAGAAUCAAGAUCUAAGAAAAACUAUUCACUUCUCAUACAAUCUGAAGCUUUACCAUAGUUACUCAGUAAAAACGCACUUAUCAAUAUAUUGAAUUUACUCAACAUUCACAAAACACCUUCCAUGUUCAAGGCACCCACUCAGCCUUAAUAAACACUAUUAUAGUUAUUAAACACAAAAAUCAAUUAUCUGAAAUGCUGCUGCACUGUUGACAUAAAGAGGAAUAUUGUUAAUAUUUGAAAUAGGAAGUAACCAAGAGGUAAAUUUUUGUAAAUAAUCAUAUUUAUCACUAAUAAUAGACCUGUAGAGACACUGAACCUCUCAAAAUCUUUAUUCCAUCAGAAAGAAUAGGAGAAAAAAGGAAGGAAGGAGAAAAGGACAUUUAUUAGGGGCCUAUUACCUGCUGGGCACUAUGUCAUGCCCUGGGGAUUCAGAAAUGAAAAGACCAGAGCACUCCUCUGCAAGAGUUCAAAGUCUAGUAAAGAGACAAGAUGUCUGUUGUAUCGUCCAUCCAUCAUCCACCCAUCCCUUCCUUUAUCUUCCCAACCAACAACUAUUUACUGAGAACCUACAAUGUGUUGCCAAGCCUUGUGCUGGGCACUGGAGAGACAACAGUGGACCAGAAAGGCAUGGUCUCUGUCCUCAUGAACUCAGAAUCUAAUGCAGGAGACAAGCCAGGAAACAGGCAACUGUGAUGAAAAUGCACAGCUGAUGGGAGGACAAGGCAGUCUGAUAGCAGGGAGCCAUGGGUGGCAGGUAGGGUCAGAAUAUUACGGGUUAAAAAAAAAAAGAACUUUGCACAGUAAGCGACAUCAGAGUUAUAAAGGCAAACAAGGAAAAGAGAAACAGAGAGGGAACUCUUUGGGGUAAUACAGAAUAACACGUAGGAAUGCCCAGAUGCAAGUAGGGCACGCUAGAAUGACUUAAGGAAAUGCUACAUAUGUUUGUACCCAGCCUCCAGCAUGGCCUCUGACGGCUGUCUUCUGCUAGUCAUGUUUUUGUGUAGAUCCCUCCCAUUUCAAUAUGGAGUCAUGAAAAUAAUGAUAUAUAUUUCUGAGACGAGGUUAAAAAAAGGAAGAAAACAUGGUGGCUUCCGCUUUGCUCCCUCUUGGAUCACUUUCUCUGGGGGAAGACGGCCACCAUGUGAUGAGGCUACUGCAGCAGUCCUCUAGAGAAGCCAAUAUGGAGAGAAACUCAGGCCUAAAAUAACCCAAAUUCCUAACCCAUUAAAACUGUAAGGUAAUAAAUAUUUAUUGUUAAGUCACAACGUUUGGGGUAAUUUGUUAUCCAGCAGGUAAGUAACACACGUAGUAUUUAAGACAGGAGGGAGGACCUUGAGACCAGAAACUAGACAGGUAGGCAGGGCCAGAUCAAGUAAAUCUUUGAACAAGAUGGGUAUUGGACUUAAUCUUGGACACAGUGAGGAGUCACUGGAGGUUUUGAAAUAGGAGAAUGAUAGGUUUGCAUUUCACAAGAACACAUGGCUAUAGAAUGGAAAAUGGACUGAAGAGAAGAUAAAACCAGUCAAAAUGCUCAGUCACAUGUUGAUGCAAAUUUAUUUUUUAUCAUCGUUUUACUACAAUUCUUUUUAAAAUUAAUUUAUUUUUAUUGAAUUGAUUCAAGGAUUCUCUCAAAGACCUUCAACUUUCUCAUUAACCCAUGUUGCAUUACACCCUGUGGAUUUGGAUAAAACAUCAUACUGCUUUCUGAACAGUUGUCAAGGGGGCAGAGGAAGCGCAGAGGAAUUAGCUUCCCAUGGGGUGAGCUCAGACUAAUGGGAAACAGAAGAGGGGAGGAAACUACGUUUGCUGGACAGUCUGCUGUGCGUCUCUACAGUGGUGGUGAGGUGGCCAGCAUGGUGGGCAUCCCCGGUAGCUCAGCUGGUACAGAACCUGCCUGCAAUGCAGGAGACCCUGGUUCAAUUCCUGGGUUGAGAAGAUCCNNNNNNNNNNNNNNNNNNNNNNNNNNNNNNNNNNNNNNNNNNNNNNNNNNNNNNNNNNNNNNNNNNNNNNNNNNNNNNNNNNNNNNNNNNNNNNNNNNNCUGCAAUGCAGGAGACCCUGGUUCAAUUCCUGGGUUGAGAAGAUCCCCUGAAGAAGAGAUAAGGCUACCCACUCCAGUAUUCUUGGGCUUCUCUGGUGGCUCUGAUGGUAAAGAAUCCACCUGCAAUGCAGGAACCCUGGGUUUGAUCCCUGGGUAGGGAAGAUCCCCUGGAGGAGGGCAUGAAAACCCACUCCAGUAUUCCUGUCUGGAGAAUCCCCAUGGUCAGAGAAAUCUGGUGGGCUACAGUCCAUGGGGUCAAAAAGACGGACACCACUGAGCAACUCAGCACACACAGCACACAGCAGCCAGCAAGCUACACUACAUCAUCAUUUUUCCUUACCUGACCUUUGCCCUCACCAUUCUGGAAUGGAAGCGACCAAACACAAUGUCAGGACUCUAAUCCUUGCUUCAGAUUCUGUAUUUUAUAGUUAUGAUAUUGAAUAUAGUAGCCACUAGCCAUAGCUGGUAGAAAUGUGACUAGUCCAAAUUGAGAUAUGCUGCAAGUAUAAAAUUCACACUGAUCUUUGAACUUGUUAUUUGAUAAUAAUUGAUAUUGUUAUUUGUGACAACAUGGAUGAACAUAGAGGACACUAGGCUAAGAAGGACAAAUACUACAUCAUAUCAAUCAUAUGAGGAAUCUAAAACAGUCAAACUCACAAAGACAGAGAGAGUAAAACAGUAGUUGCCAGGGGAGGGAAAAUGAGGCAGUAUUAGCCAAGGGGUACAAAGUUUAUACAAGAUAAAUAAAACCUAGAGAUCUACUGUAUAGUACGGUGCCUACAGUUAACAAUACUGUAUUGCUAUACAUAAAUAUUUGCUAGAGAGAGUUAUGUUAAGUGUUCUGAUCAUUAUCACCAUCGUAACAGUUAAAAACAACAACAAUAAUAAUAAUAAAUAAAGAGUACAGGAAAAAACUUUUGAAAUGAUGGAUAGG
ensembl:lncRNA